rnacentral:rRNA from 1 species
CCUACGGGUGGCAGCAGUGGGGAAUAUUGGACAAUGGGCGAAAGCCUGAUCCAGCCAUGCCGCGUGUGUGAAGAAGGCCUUCGGGUUGUAAAGCACUUUCAGUGGGGAAGAAAGCCUUGGGGCUAAUACCCUCGAGGAAGGACAUCACCCACAGAAGAAGCACCGGCUAACUCCGUGCCAGCAGCCGCGGUAAUACGGAGGGUGCGAGCGUUAAUCGGAAUUACUGGGCGUAAAGCGCGCGUAGGCGGUCUGAUAAGCCGGUUGUGAAAGCCCCGGGCUCAACCUGGGAACGGCAUCCGGAACUGUCAGGCUAGAGUGCAGGAGAGGAAGGUAGAAUUCCCGGUGUAGCGGUGAAAUGCGUAGAGAUCGGGAGGAAUACCAGUGGCGAAGGCGGCCUUCUGGACUGACACUGACGCUGAGGUGCGAAAGCUUGGGUAGCAAACAGGAUUAGAUACCCCUGUAGUC